UACGUAGGUGGCAAGCGUUGUUCGGAUUUACUGGGCGUAAAGGGCGCGUAGGCGGCCACCGCAAGUCGACUGUGAAAUCUCCGGGCUUAACCCGGAAAGGUCAGCCGAUACUGCGGGGCUAGAGUGCAGAAGGGGCAACUGGAAUUCUCGGUGUAGCGGUGAAAUGCGUAGAUAUCGAGAGGAACACCUGCGGCGAAGGCGGGUUGCUGGGCUGACACUGACGCUGAGGCGCGAAAGCGUGGGGAGCAAACAGG
rnacentral:rRNA from 1 species